UACAGAGGGUGCAAGCGUUAAUCGGAAUUACUGGGCGUAAAGCGUGCGCAGACGGUUGCGUAAGUCAGAUGUGAAAGCCCCGGGCUCAACCUGGGAAUGGCAUUGGAAACUGGCGGACUCGAGUGUGGCAGAGGGGGGUGGAAUUCCGCGUGUAGCAGUGAAAUGCGUAGAGAUGCGGAGGAACACCGAUGGCGAAGGCAGCCCCCUGGGCUAACACUGACGCUCAGGCACGAAAGCGUGGGGAGCAAACAGG
rnacentral:rRNA from 1 species